GCGUCCCACCRGGAAUGGAGCCCGGGGAGCCUCCCGCGUGACUGCCCUUAAGCGGCCAGCUGGAAGCAGCUCCAGUUCCGAGGGUCACUCUGGAAAAGAAACCGUGUUUAAGAAUUCCGGACGAGCUCCCUGCAUUCCUUAUGGGUGGCAGCUAUCACUUGGAGGCAAGCUCUG